rnacentral:rRNA from 1 species
UACGUAGGGACCAAGCGUUGUUCGGAUUUACUGGCGUAAAGGGCGCGUAGGCGGCAUGACAAGUCACUUGUGAAAUCUCUGGCUUAACCCAGAACGGCCAAGUGAUACUGUCGCGCUAGAGUGCAGAAGGGGCAAUCGGAAUUCUACGGUGUAGCGGUGGAAUGCGCAGAUAUCAGGAGGAACACCCAAUAGCGAAGGUAGCUCGCUGGGAACGUUACUGGACACUGAGGCGCGAAAGCGUGGGGA